AGAGCUGCGGGAGCGGCGCGCGGAAUGCUGGGAUAGCGGAGGUCCGCCGAGCGCGUCCUGCGGGCUUAGCUGUCCCAGACAGUUCAUAGCGUCUACCAAACCCUGUGCAUCAAACAUGAUAGACGAGGCCAUUUUCCUCAGGAGCUCCUAGUCCAUGCAGAGACGUGUAAACAAGUUGUUGGGAGAAUUAAAUGAGCUACUGCAGAUAAAACAUUCAGCAGGGUGCCUGGCAUCUGACACAGAAUAAUGUAGUUUGAAGUAGAAAGGAGGACGAUAGUGCCAGCCCUGCCCGUCAGCAAUGUGGAAACUCCUCAAAGCUGGAAGAAAAGCUGACUGUGGUUUCCAACAGCUCAGUGUUUGUCACAAGAAGUCCUGAACAUUCGCUGUGCUCAGGACUCUAGAACUCUGUCUGCCUUCUCUAACCAGAACACAGCCAAUUGCUGUAGCUUCUUGCUGAGUGCUCACAGAUCUUGAAGGUCUUUAGAACAGUGGACAUGGGGCUGAUGCUGUGGCAUAUCAGGUAAAGCUGCUGCCUGCAAUGCCAUCAUCCCUUUUGGGCCCCAGUUUGAAUCCCGGCUGCUCCACUUCUGAUCCAGCUCUCUGCUAUGACCUGGGAAAGCAGUAGAAGAUGGCCCAAGUCCUUGGGCUCCUGCACCCGUGUGGGAGACCCGGAAGAAGUUCCUGGCUCCUGGCUUUGGAUCAGCACAGCUCCGGCCGUUGUGGCCAACUGGGGAGUGAAACAGCGGAUGGAAGGAAGACCUCUCUCUCUCUGCCUCUCCUCUCUCUGUAUAACUCUGACUUUCAAAUAAAUAAAUAAAUCUUAAAAAAAAAAAAAAAACAGUUGACACUAAGUAUGCAGGCAGAGUCUGUACACUUGGAGCUAGCUCUGAAUCUACUGUGAUAAAUGUUUGGAGGGUGUUUUUAGCAAGAAGGUUUAAUGCAAGAUCUGCCCUCUUAACAAAUUUUUCAAUGUACAACACAGUAUUGUUAACAAUAGCUCCCAUGUUUACAGCAGAUUUCUACAAUGUGUUCAUCCUAUAUACCUGAAACUUUAUACCUACUGCACAACUCCCAGUUCCCAUGCCCACAGCCCCUGACAACCACCAUUCUGUUCUCUGUUUCCAUUGGACUAUUCUAGAAACCUCAUAUACGUGGACUCACUCAGUGGUUGCCCUGUGACUGAUCAUUUCACUUAGAAUAAUGUCUUCAGGGCCAGUGUGGCACAGUGGGUUAAGCUACCACUUGUGUUGCCUGCAUCCCACUUUGGAGUGCCAAUUGGAGCUGCCGUGGUUCCACUUCCAAUCCAGCUUCCUGCUGAAGUGCCUGGGGAGGCAGGAGAGGAUGACCCAAGUGCUUGCACCCCUGCCUUCCAUGUGGGAGGCCAGGUUGGAGUUCCUGGCUUCUAGCUUCAGCUUGGCCAAGACCUGGCUGUGUGGCCAUUCAGGGAGUGAGCUUCAGGUGGAAGCCUCUCUCUCUCUCUCUCUCUCUCUGCCUUUCAAAUAACUAACCAUCUAACUAAAGAUAUAUAUCCUUUUUAAAAAAAAUCUUCCAUGUUAUCACACAUGGCAGGACUUCCUUUUUUUAAAGGCUGAAUAAUAUUCAUACACACACACACACACACUGCAUUUUUUUUUUUAUCCAUUUAUCAGUCAGUGGACAUUUAGGUAGUUUCUGUGUCUUGGGCAUUGUGAAUAAUGCUGCAAUAAACAAGGAUGGGCAUGUAGAUAUCUUCUCUGAAUUCUGACUUCAGCUCCUUUGGAUAUAUAUCUAGAUGUUGGAUAAUUGGAUCAUGUACUAGUUCUAUUUUUAACUUUUUGAAGAACCUCCAUACUGUUUUCCAUAGAGGCUGUGCCAUUUUAUACUUCUACUAACAGAGUUUAGGGGUUCUAAUAUCUCAACAUCCUCAUCAGUACUUGUUAUCUUUUUGAAAAAACAAUCAUUCUAACCAGUGUUAAGUAUCAUCAUGAUUUUGAAUUGUAUUUCUGUGAUGGUUAGUAAUGUUGAAAAUGUUUUCAUUCAUAUAUUGACUAUUUGGAUGUCUUCUUUGGUGAAAUAUCUAUUAAAGUCAGCUGUUCAUUUUUUUAAUGGAGAUUCUUGAGUAUUUUGCUGUUGAGUUGUAGCAGUCCCUUUAGUAUGUUGGAUAGUGAUCCCUUACAAAAUACAUGAUUUACAAAUAUUUUCUCCUGUUCCACAGUCUUCCUUUGGUAUAGUCCCACGUGUCUGUUUUUGCUUUUGUUGACUGUAGUUUUGGAGUCUUAGCCAAAAAUCUAUCGCCUAGACCAGUGUCACGAAGCUUCUUCCUCUGUGUUUUCCUCUAGAAGUUCUAGUGUCAGGCCUUAAAUUUAAACCUUUAAUUCAUAUGAGGUUGAUUUCUGUGUAUAAUAUGUUUAAUGGUUUGGUUUAUG